UGACUAUUCUCUCUGUUCCAAAAUCCUUGUCUUAUAUUUGUCUAGAAAUGGAUGUAUCUAAAUAAUAAUACAUGACUAGAUACAUUCAUAUCUAGAUAAAUCAAAGACAAGAAUUUUGGAACGCAAGGAGUACUUU
rfam:Hordeum vulgare subsp. vulgare, WGS project CAJW01000000 data, contig: morex_contig_79572